rnacentral:misc_RNA from 1 species
AACGCACGAGACCUGCGGACCUGCGGAGGGAUCAUUAUCGAGUGUGAACCCUCCCCGUAAAAAGGGGGAGUUACCUCCCGUCCUUUGCUGGGUACCCCCCUUUCAUUGGAAGAGGGGUUGCUUUCAGAACCUUUCUGCUUCGGCGGGGUUACUUGCCGAAACAACCUCAAAAAUUCUUAAGUCAAAACUGUUCAGUCCGAGAAACUUUUAAAAAGCGAAAACUUUCAGCAAUGGAUCUCU